UUUUAUGAAGCAGGCAUCUUUCUGACAUUUGUUCAUACUCAGAAGCCCGUGGUUUUCCAAAUGUUUCUUUGCUAAUGAGCUUAGAAAAGGAAUUCUGGUUAUGAGUUAUAACAAGGGAUGCUAUAAUUGUUAUUUUUUUAACCCCUGCCUGGCAGAGCCACACAUAAGCCAUUCUGUAUUUUAGUUACAGCACUGAGGCUGGUCAGCUAUUGACUCAUCAGGAGGUUGGUGGCUCUUGGGAUAAGGGCAGGAAGAAAUAGAGGGUACAUGUCAUGUCCAUCAUAUCCAAGACCCCUCUUUAGGGCUCUGCUACUCACGGGGUUGUCCAGAGACUUGCAACCACUCUGUCAUCUGGGAGCUGCUGAAAAAUGCUGAAGAGGAGUCUUUACGUGACAGGAAGAUCAGUACAACUGCAGCCUGGAUGACGUACAGGGAAUCCCAACCCAACAAGAGGAAGUAGAAUACUAUUCAAGAAAUAUUUUGUGUUGAUCAAGACCCCCAUCUCCCCUUCCAACCUCUGCACAUGCUGCAUAUGAGAUUGAUUGACUAUGUUAUAGAUUCCCCAGUGAUCCUUUCAUCUGGAUUAUACCAACUGACCCAAAAUAAUAUGUGUGACUCCUGGAGCCAUGUCAGCAAACUUUUAUCUAACCUGGAGGGAAUGGUUGGUUUCAGCUUUGCUUUUCUGUAUUUUCCAAUGUCAUCAUUUCCUGUGUUCAAUAAUAUUGCUGCCUUUUCUGUAUUAAUUGUUUCUGCUAUCACUUUGUAAGACAGAUGUGUAUGUCAAACUAUUUGUUAUUUUAGACAUUCAAUUGGUAACUUUAAUUUGGUGUUUUGUAGGUUACAAAUUUGAAUCAGAAAGACUAUUAAAUUUUGUUACAUCAUUAAAGUUUUCAGUUAGUUUC